rnacentral:lncRNA from 1 species
UAUUUUAUAUUUUUUACUCUGGAACCAGAACUGAAGCUGCAUAAUGGUUUUACGAAUAUCUCCAUCACAAGACUGGAUAAAUUUUUUCAGUAAAAGAGGAUUAUUGUUGAGUUCUUCUGUGACACAAACCUGCAGGUCAUCCAUAGAAGACGUAUAAAUUUCAGUUUCAAUUUUCCCUUCUGAGGGGUUGGAAAUCCUAAAGCACAUACCAUGUACAUAUGACUAAGUAACUCAUCUAGCAAUGGCAAUGAGAAAGAAACAUGUAGUCUAGCAAAACUAUCUGGUAGGCCACCGUUAUUACCAAUUUGAAAAAAUGACAUUGUCAUAAAUAUGAACACAUUGAUAAAAGCUAUAUGUUGAGCAAUGAUGCAUUAUUGUAACAAGUCAUCUCACUAUUACUGGUCAAUAUAAUUGGCCCUUUUGCUGUCUCAGAAAUGUGUUGUAUGGCAGCGAUACAUCCGCGGUCUUCAAGAAAAAGCAUGUCCACAUCCUCAACUAGAAUUAAAGUUUGGACACUGCCACAUGUAAAUACAUUACUUUUUCCAUGUAACCUUGGAGAUAUUCCACCAUGACUACGGGCUUCAUCAUUGGAAAUGGUUAUCAUUUCAAUCACCCAUCAUCCAUCUCCUCAGCUGCUAUACCAUUAGGCUAAGCUGGACCUGGAAGCAACUUCUUAGUUUUCUUAUGUGGACUCUCAGUGUGAUCAAAUAGCCUAAAAGGGAAGCACCAUAUAAGAUAUAUUACCACAGAACAACUUGACAGAAAGGCUUCUUACAUGAGUAACUUGAUUCUAUUAAACUAAGAUUGAAAAGGAAAACCAUGUAAUGAAGAAAUUCAAUAUUAAAUUCCAUACUCUCGUUUUCCUCUUACACCUAUUCAUUUGAUUUUCUAUCUCAAUGAAGAAUAAUUUAGGAGCCCAUCCUGCACUCCAGCCCACAUUACAAGGUUAUUGCUCAAGAGUUAAGACAUCUAGGGACUUUAACAACGCUUCUUAAUAGUUUGCUCGUGACUUUACUAUACUGGACAUCUAAAAUUUUGUUAGGAUCCCAUUGCAAUGUAUGGGACUUGAGUCUCACAAUGGAAGUAUGGGAUUCUAGUUUGGGGUUUUUAAUCCCUUGCACUCUCCAACUAGAAUGACUAACUUAUGUAGUAUGGUUCUCCCAAGUUUUUUAUCAAUUAGUGUCAAAGCUACCGGGCUACCACCAUGUCUCUUAUCUGCAAACAAGUGGUGACACUGGCAAUUGCGAUGUCUGCCCGAGAGUAGUUAAAGGGCUAGUGCACAGCCAUCCUGAAUGGGUGUUGGGGCUACAGAGCAUGGUGCGAUGUUAGGAUCCAAAUCCAAUUGCAUAUAGUAUGAAAUUCUAGUGGAGGGUUCGUAAGGCUUUGGGCUCUCCAACUACAAUGACUAGGUUUUGUGGUGUGGUUCUCAAAAGAUUUCUUUCAAAUUUGCUUUUCUCUUUAAUUGGAUAAUCAUCUUACUAGAGCUUGAAAGAAUCAAACUGCUAAUUUAAAGACAACAUUGAAUUACUUGAUUUUGCAGCAACUACUAACACAACGCUUUAUCCAGCAUAUAGUAUUGUUUAGUCUAUGGAAUUUCCUCAAGGGCAUCUAUAUUCCCAUGUAAAUUUAAAUGAAGUGUUGAUUACCUGUGAAAGAAAAAAUGCUCUUUCUUAGACAAAAGUAACACUCAAAUAAGUCAACAAAAUAUUGAAGGAAAGUGAAAGCACAUGUAUAAGGUAAAUGGUCAGAUAAAAUAACAUAGCAACAUAUUUUUUCAGUCACAGCAGUUCUUAGCAAGCAAGCAUUGACAAGACAAAUUAAUAAACCUUUUGAACUUUCUGUGAUUUGAUUCAAGAGUCAAUCCAAAAUUUUGCUUGACAGCAGCCCCGUUUCAACAAUCUGAUGCAUUGAUCUGUUAAGACAUGCACAAUAAACUUUGAUAUUUUUUUUAUCAAAUUCAUAAACAAAAUUACAGAUAUAUUAAAACGAAGCAAGGACAAAGUUUUAACAAGUAACAACUAGAAGAUAUUAC